UACGUAGGGGGCGAGCGUUGUCCGGAUUUACUGGGCGUAAAGUGCGCGUAGGCGGUCGUGCACGUCGGUUGUGAAAUCUGGUGGCUCAACCAUCGGGGGUCAGCCGAUACGGUGCGACUGGAGGACGGUAGAGGCAGGUGGAAUUCCCGGUGUAGUGGUGAAAUGCGUAGAGAUCGGGAGGAACACCAGUGGCGAAGGCGGCCUGCUGGGCCGGUCCUGACGCUGAGGCGCGAAAGCGUGGGGAGCGAAC
rnacentral:rRNA from 1 species